GACGAACGCUGGCGGCGUGUCUAAUACACGCAAGUCGAGCGAAUGACGAGAAGCUUGCUUCUCUGAUUUAGCGGCGGACGGGUGAGUAACACGUGGGCAACCUGCCCUACAGAUCGGGAUAACUCAGGGAAACCUGGGCUAAUACCGGAUAAUCCUUCGAAUCACAUGUUUUGAAGUUGAAAGGCGCUUCGGCGUCACUGUAGGAUGGGCCCGCGGUGCAUUAGCUAGUUGGUGGGGUAACGGCCUACCAAGGCAACGAUGCAUAGCCGACCUGAGAGGGUGAUCGGCCACAUUGGGACUGAGACACGGCCCAAACUCCUACGGGAGGCAGCAGUAGGGAAUCUUCCACAAUGGACGAAAGUCUGAUGGAGCAACGCCGCGUGAGUGAUGAAGGUUUUCGGAUCGUAAAACUCUGUUGUAAGGGAAGAACAAGUACGUUAGGAAAUGAACGUACCUUGACGGUACCUUAUUAGAAAGCCACGGCUAACUACGUGCCAGCAGCCGCCGUAA
rnacentral:rRNA from 1 species